rnacentral:misc_RNA from 1 species
GAUGAAGAACGUAGCGAAAUGCGAUAAGUAGUGUGAAUUGCAGAAUUCAGUGAAUCAUCGAAUCUUUGAACGCGCAUUGCGCCCCUCGGUAUUCCGUGGGGCAUGCCUGUUCGAGCGUCAUUUAACCCCUCAAGCCUAGCUUGGUAUUGGGUGCUUGUCCCGCCUCUCGCGCGGCGACUCACCUCAAAGUCAUUGGCAGCCCGCAUCUCGCCGGCCGUGAGCGCAGCACAGACGCGCUCUUGGCAACGACGGAUCGGCUCUCCAAAAGCUUAUUUCAACCACUGACCUCGGAUCAGGUAGGGAUACCCGCUGAACUUAAGCAUAUCAAUAAGCGGAGGA